GCUGGGUGUGGUGGCACAUGCCUGUAGUCCCAGCUACUUAGGAGGCUGAGGUGGGAGGAUCACUUGAGCCUGGGGAGUUUGAGGCUGCAGUGAGUUGAGAUUGUGCCACUGCACUCCAGCCCGGGUGACAAAGUGAGACUCUGUCUCAU
rfam:Gorilla gorilla gorilla genomic chromosome, chr6, whole genome shotgun sequence